UCCCAAAAAGUGAAAGGAACUGGAAAAUAAACUUACUAAGAUCCAGGAAAUGAUUUCAAAAAAAAACAGCCAACAAACCGAGGUGAGCAGGCGCAGUGGGUGGGUGUUAUGAGACAGACAGCGGGGCUAGGAGAUGCCCAGGAUGAAGCCCGGAGACCUGCUCUCUGAUUCCUCUUGGGUCUAGCUCAUCACAGCCUGCUUCCCCACUCCCACUGCAACGUGACAGCAACAGCACAUCUCACUUUCCAACAUGCAGACAGCCCCCUGUGUUAACAGCACCGUCUCUGAAAUCAGUGGAGCUGCAUUUGACCCUACCUCCGUCAGGCCGUAGCUGACUUCAAUACUGAGCAGAUACAAUCUGUUCCUCAAAGCUACUGACAUAUAGUCUGCCUAUGAUGGGAACAAAUGGGAAACUGAGGUAUAAGAAAAUAAGUGGGAGGCUUCUCCAGCCAUAUAUGUGACAGAGACCCCAGACCCAAACCAAGCCAGAGAGUCCACUAUAGCAGACAGGAACCAAGGCAUUGAAGAUGUGUCUAAUUUUCUACUAUUCCUCACAAUAAACAUUCUCAUGACUCGUCUUAUUGUGCGCAUCUGCAAAAGGCUGUCUAAAGGAGUGGUUCUCAAAGUGUGGUCGCCUGCAGCAGCAGCAUCACCUGGGAACAUGUUGGAAAUGCAAAUCCACUCCUUCCUCGGACCUACUGAACCAGAAACUCUAGGAGUGGGGUCUAGCAAUACAUGCUUUAACAAGCCCUCCGGGUGAUGCUGAAUCAAGCUAAAGUUUGAGAACUGCUGCUUGAGGGUGACCUAAAUGGACACAUCUCACAUCACUAAACAAUGCUGAAUUACUCUCCAAAGGGGUUGCCCCAACUAUAUUCCCACCAGCAGUGUUUGAGAGUUACCAAUUUCUCAUACAAAACCAGCACGAUGUAAUUACAACCCUCUGACAGUUUCCGCCAUCUGUGGGUUAGGCAUCUUGUCAAAUGUUUAUUGGCCAAAUGGAUUCCCGUUCUUAUGCACUUUCAGUUUUCUAUUCAGUAGUUUUUAACCAUUUUUUAAUAAUUUGUAGACAUUAUUUGUGUUUUCUAAAAACUCAUACUUUG